rnacentral:rRNA from 1 species
AGUGAACGCUGGCGGUAGGCCUAACACAUGCCAGUCGAACGGCCGCACAGUAAGAGCUUGCUCUUACGGGUGGCGAGUGGCGGACGGGUGAGGAAUACAUCGGAAUCUACUUUUUCGUGGGGGAUAACGUAGGGAAACUUACGCUAAUACCGCAUACGACCUACGGGUGAAAGCAGGGGAUCUUCGGACCUUGCGCGAUUGAAUGAGCCGAUGUCGGAUUAGCUAGUUGGCGGGGUAAAGGCCUACCAAGGCGACGAUCCGUAGCUGGUCUGAGAGGAUGAUCAGCCACACUGGAACUGAGACACGGUCCAGACUCCUACGGGAGGCAGCAGUGGGGAAUAUUGGACAAUGGGCGCAAGCCUGACCCAGCCAUACCGCGUGAGUGAAGAAGGCCUUCGGGUUGUAAAGCCCUUUUGUUGGGAAAGAAAAGCAGCAGGUUAAUACCUCGCUGUUCUGACGGUACCCAAACAAUAAGCACCGGCUAACUUCGUG